AUGUCCUGUUUCGUCCAUAGUAUCUAGUAUAGACAAUUAAGUUGUGUAAAAAGCUAGAGUACGUAAGGAAAAGAAAGGUUAACCGCUAUCAAA
rnacentral:rRNA from 1 species